rnacentral:rRNA from 1 species
UACGUAGGGUGCGAGCGUUGUCCGGAAUUAUUGGGCGUAAAGGGCUCGUAGGCGGUCUGUCGCGUCGGGAGUGAAAACUCAGGGCUUAACCCUGAGCCUGCUUCCGAUACGGGCAGACUAGAGGUAUGCAGGGAAGAACGGAAUUCCUGGUGUAGCGGUGGAAUGCGCAGAUAUCAGGAGGAACACCGGUGGCGAAGGCGGUUCUCUGGGCAUUACCUGACGCUGAGGAGCGAAAGUGUGGGGAGCGAACAGG